GACGAACGCUGGCGGCGUGCUUAACACAUGCAAGUCGAACGGAAAGGCCCUGCUUUUGUGGGGUGCUCGAGUGGCGAACGGGUGAGUAACACGUGAGUAACCUGCCCUUGACUUUGGGAUAACUUCAGGAAACUGGGGCUAAUACCGGAUAGGAGCUCCUGCUGCAUGGUGGGGGUUGGAAAGUUUCGGCGGUUGGGGAUGGACUCGCGGCUUAUCAGCUUGUUUGUGGGGUAGUGGCUUACCAAGGCUUUGACGGGUAGCCUGCCUGAGAGGGUGACCGGCGACAUUGGGACUGAGAUACGGCCCAGACUCCUACGGGAGGCAGCAGUGGGGAAUAUUGCACAAUGGGCGGAAGCCUGAUGCAGCAACGCCGCGUGCGGGAUGACGGCCUUCGGGUUGUAAACCGCUUUCGCCUGUGACGAAGCGUGAGUGACGGUAAUGGGUAAAGAAGCACCGGCUAACUACGUG
rnacentral:rRNA from 1 species